rnacentral:rRNA from 1 species
CCUGGUGACCCGAUUCCCAGGGGGCAACACCCGUUCCCAUUCCGACCACGGUCGUUAAGCCCCUGGGGCCGAUGAUACUGUCGGGAAUAACAUCGACGGGAAAGUAGGUUGUUGCCAGGC